rnacentral:rRNA from 1 species
AUUGAACGCUGGCGGCAUGCCUUACACAUGCAAGUCGAACGGUAACGCGGGGCAACCUGGCGACGAGUGGCGAACGGGUGAGUAAUGUAUCGGAACGUGCCCAGUUGUGGGGGAUAACUGCUCGAAAGAGCAGCUAAUACCGCAUACGACCUGAGGGUGAAAGCGGGGGAUCGCAAGACCUCGCGCAAUUGGAGCGGCCGAUAUCAGAUUAGGUAGUUGGUGGGGUAAAGGCUCACCAAGCCAACGAUCUGUAGCUGGUCUGAGAGGACGACCAGCCACACUGGGACUGAGACACGGCCCAGACUCCUACGGGAGGCAGCAGUGGGGAAUUUUGGACAAUGGACGAAAGUCUGAUCCAGCCAUGCCGCGUGCGGGAAGAAGGCCUUCGGGUUGUAAACCGCUUUUGUCAGGGAAGAAACGCUCUGGGUUAAUACCUUGGGGUAAUGACGGUACCUGAAGAAUAAGCACCGGCUAACUACGUGCCAGCCGCCGCGGUAAUAC